rnacentral:misc_RNA from 1 species
GAUGAAGAACGUAGCGAAAUGCGAUAAGUAAUGUGAAUUGCAGAAUUCAGUGAAUCAUCGAAUCUUUGAACGCAUAUUGCGCCCGCCAGUAUUCUGGCGGGCAUGCCUGUCCGAGCGUCAUUUCAACCAUCAAGCCCCGGGCUUGUGUUGGGGACCUGCGUCCGACGCAGGCCCUGAAAACCAGUGGCGGGCUCGCUGUCCACACCGAGCGUAGUAACUAACCUCGCUAUGGAGUGGCGCGGGCGCCUGCCGUAAAACCCCCAAUUUCACAAGGUUGACCUCGGAUCAGGUAGGAAUACCCGCUGAACUUAAGCAUAUCAAUAAGCGGAGGA